AUCAAAUGAACUCGCCCACUGGAACGUCUUCCCCAGACAAGGCGCGUGGUUUGUGCUUGCCCUUGCUCGGGAAAUAAGCUACCCUAGUGAAAAUGGGCUUUCAUAAAGUUGUUCAACAAUCUUGGGCAAAUUGCCAAGAUUUGGAUUACCUUCGACUAUCUUAUAUUUAGGCUGUCAACCGUCAACUUGAGACUGGUGUGUUGUUGGAGGUGCCCCCCAUCCAUGGUGCCACAAUGGACAACUCCUGGGCCAGGGAGCUGGGUCGGAUCCGUAUGUCAGGCUCCUUCAUGACCGGUAUCUGUGACGAGGGGCCUGGAGCUGAUCUACUGACACUGGCAAACACCUCAAAAGGGACAAAAGAUGGAGGAUGAUAAGCUUUGGUCAUGGAGUCCUCUGACUGAAAGACAGGUUUAUACUGAUGUCUGAAUUGGGAAAUAGCUUGUACUCCGCAUUAAAAUUAUACAAGACACAUCUGA